ACAGGGAGACAGGUGGUGCAUGGUUGUCGUCAGCUCGUGUCGUGAGAUGUUGGGUUAAGUCCCGUCAACGAGCGCAACCCCUACGUUUAGUUGCUAACGCGUGAAGGCGAGCACUCUAGACGAACUGCCGUUGACAAAACGGAGGAAGGUGGGAUGACGUCAAAUCAUCAUGCCCCUUAUGUUCUGGGCUACACACGUGCUACAAUGGCCGGUACAGACGGACGCAAAGCCGCGAGGUGGAGCAAAUCCUAAAAAGCCGGUCUCAGUUCGGAUUGCAGGCUGCAAUUCGCCUGCAUGAAGUCGGAAUCGCUAGUAAUCGCAGGUCAGCAUACUGCGGUGAAUACGUUCCCGGGCCUU
rnacentral:rRNA from 1 species